rnacentral:rRNA from 1 species
CUGAGAGGAUGACCAGCCACACUGGAACUGAGACACGGUCCAGACUCCUACGGGAGGCAGCAGUGGGGAAUAUUGCACAAUGGGCGCAAGCCUGAUGCAGCCAUGCCGCGUGUAUGAAGAAGGCCUUCGGGUUGUAAAGUACUUUCAGCGGGGAGGAAGGGAGUAAAGUUAAUACCUUUGCUCAUUGACGUUACCCGCAGAAGAAGCACCGGCUAACUCCGUGCCAGCAGCCGCGGUAAUACGGAGGGUGCAAGCGUUAAUCGGAAUUACUGGGCGUAAAGCGCACGCAGGCGGUUUGUUAAGUCAGAUGUGAAAUCCCCGGGCUCAACCUGGGAACUGCAUCUGAUACUGGCAAGCUUGAGUCUCGUAGAGGGGGGUAGAAUUCCAGGUGUAGCGGUGAAAUGCGUAGAGAUCUGGAGGAAUAC